AUGCAUAUUUUUCUAAACCAAAAUACUGCUUAUUUUCGUAGUGUAUAUUUUGAAAUAAUGACUGGUCAAAGAGGAGUAUCAAUGCAUUUGAAGGAGCAAAGUGUGAAAGAUUUCAGCAGGAAGAAGCUUGAUCUCAGGAAAUUGAUGUAUUCCACGUUGGAUACUGCACUGCACCUCCAGUUUAGACAGAAGAGGAGUUGUGUUAGCAAAUGCUCAACCAAAUGUAAAAACAUUGCUAAAGUAAUGGACUCCAACAAAGAUCCGAUUUUACUUUGGGGAGAUAAAUGGUGACAUACUGGGAAGACCGUGCUGUGGAAGCGGUGAAGCUGAUACCUUUGUUCAGCGUCUUGCUUUUCUCUUUUCAUGCUAAGCAUACAGCUACAGAGCAGCACGACAUGCUGUGCUGUCCGUGCACAGCGUUAUCCGCCGUGCAGUGGGAGAAAAUUGAUCUUCAGAAAAGUGAAUUGGAGCUGCAGCUUUCCUGCUGUGGGAGAACCCAGGCUAUGUGGGACGUGUUCAGGUCAGCUGCUGAAUUUACUCAUUACUGAGAUUUUUUACAUAUAGAUGAGUACUAUUUCAAGUCUUAAAAUUCUGACUUUUUGCCACAGCCUGCUUUUAUUAACUUUGUAAGGAGCUAUGAUUCUACUUUAAGGCUUUGAAGUAGAAGCUGAUAGUAACAAGCAAGUUUUACGUAGCUCUACAUUUUAACUUUCAUAUAUAUAAAGCAUAUACAGAAUAAGAAAAUGAAGGCAACACCUUUCCUUUUCCAGUACUAUUGCAUAUAAAAUGAUUGUUUAUCAAUAAAUACACAAAGUACUUUAAAAUUAUAUUAUGA
rnacentral:lncRNA from 1 species